ACAGCUACCUCAUUGCGCCUCUUUUUUUCUUUGCGUCAUGUGCUGUUUGGGGUGUGUUUUUUGGAAGGGCCAUCCUGCGUGACACUGCAGUGCCACUCCUAGAUGGGCCAGGUGUUUGUGUCGGCCACUUGGGUCGCUGAGCUUAGUCAUCCAGCGACCUCGGUGCAAAUUUUAGGACUAAAAAUAAUAUUGUGAGGUGUGAGGUGUUCAGAAUAGACUGAAAAUGAGUGGAAAUUAUGGUUAUUGAGGUUAAUAAUACUUUAGGAUCAAAAUGACCCCCAAAUUCUAUGAAUUAAGCUGUUUUUUAGGGUUUUUUGAAAAAAACACCCGAAUCCAAAACACACCCGAAUCCGACAAAAAAAAUUCGGUGAGGUUUUGCCAAAACGCGUUCGAACCCAAAACACGACCACGGAACCGAACCCAAAACCAAAACACAGAACCCGAAAAAUUUCCGGUGCACAUCUCUAACGACAGUUCCCCUGCUGUACCAUGGGUGACCUACUUGUGAUGUGGACCUGAACCUCCGCCAUGCAGCAGACACCCCCCUCAGGUCUUGCAGAGUAUCCUUCCCAAGUUGCAGUAACCAGCGUGGAUGUGAAGGGACACGACAGUUCCCCUGCUGUACCAUGGGCGACCUACUUGUGAUGUGGACCUGAACCUCUGGCAUGUAGCAGACACCCCCCCUCAGGUCUUGCGGAGUAUCCUUCCUAAGUUGCAGUAACCAGCGUGGAUGUGAAGGGACACGACAGUUCCCCUGCUGUACCAUGGGCGACCUACCACAAUACCUACAAUACCAUUGCAUCUCUGAAAUGCCCUAUUUUACAUUUCAUGUUUACUAAUAAUUAAAAAAUAAA